rnacentral:sRNA from 1 species
UACGGAGUCGCAAAAGAAACCGAUGGACC